GCCUUUUUUUUUUUUUUUUUUUUUUUUUUUUUUUUUUUUUUUUACCCUCUGAUGGGGUUUAUACAUAUUACCCUCUGAUGGGGUUUAUACAAAUGUUUUCAAAAUAAAAGGAAAAUAAAUUACAUCAUUCUGAUGGGGUAUUUAUUCCUUGUUUUUUUUUUUUGCAGUGUCUCCAUGUGCAUCCCUUUUACUUUCCUCUUUUCUGCUUUCCGAAAUAUUCUCCCAACAACAUGAUCUUUUUCUUU
rnacentral:lncRNA from 1 species